rnacentral:rRNA from 1 species
UACGAAGGGGGCUAGCGUUGCUCGGAAUGACUGGGCGUAAAGGGCGCGUAGGCGGCUCAUACAGUCAGAUGUGAAAUUCCUGGGCUUAACCUGGGGGGCUGCAUUUGAUACGUGUGGGCUUGAGUGGGGAAGAGGGUCGUGGAAUUCCCAGUGUAGAGGUGAAAUUCGUAGAUAUUGGGAAGAACACCGGUGGCGAAGGCGGCGACCUGGUCCUUGACUGACGCUGAGGCGCGAAAAGCGUGGGGAGCAAACAGG